rnacentral:rRNA from 1 species
UACAGGGGGGGCAAGCGUUGUUCGGAAUUACUGGGCGUAAAGGGCUCGUAGGUGGCCAACUAAGUCAGACGUGAAAUCCCUCAGCUUAACUGGGGAACUGCGUCUGAUACUGGAUGGCUUGAGUUUGGGAGAGGGAUGCGGAAUUCCAGGUGUAGCGGUGAAAUGCGUAGAUAUCUGGAGGAACACCGGUGGCGAAGGCGGCAUCCUAGACCAACACUGACACUGAGGAGCGAAAGCCAGGGGAGCAAACGGG